rnacentral:misc_RNA from 1 species
GGGUUAAGUGACAAAUUUAUAGCUCCUGAAUAUCUACGUUCCACUGGAUUGGAAAAAUGAGAAACCACCAUUUAACCUUCCAACAUUGCAUGGUCAAUAAAUAAGUAGAAAAAUUGCUGUAAGACCAAUUUAGAUUUGAGGUUUCAGUUAGGUGUUCAAGUCUGAAAUAAAAUAAUUGCUAUAAUACCUCUACGACUGUUUCUACCCCAUA